rnacentral:rRNA from 1 species
AUUGAACGCUGGCGGCAGGCCUAACACAUGCAAGUCGAGCGGAUGAAGGGAGCUUGCUCCUGGAUUCAGCGGCGGACGGGUGAGUAAUGCCUAGGAAUCUGCCUGGUAGUGGGGGAUAACGUCCGGAAACGGGCGCUAAUACCGCAUACGUCCUGAGGGAGAAAGUGGGGGAUCUUCGGACCUCACGCUAUCAUAUGAGCCUAGGUCGGAUUAGCUAGUUGGUGGGGUAAAGGCCUACCAAGGCGACGAUCCGUAACUGGUCUGAGAGGAUGAUCAGUCACAUUGGAACUGAGACACGGUCCAGACUCCUACGGGAGGCAGCAGUGGGGAAUAUUGGACAAUGGGCGAAAGCCUGAUCCAGCAAUGCCGCGUGUGUGAAGAAGGUCUUCGGAUUGUAAAGCACUUUAAGUUGGGAGGAAGGGCAGUAAGUUAAUACCUUGCUGUUUUGACGUUACCAACAGAAUAAGCACCGGCUAACUUCGUG